rnacentral:rRNA from 1 species
GACGAACGCUGGCGGCGUGCUUAACACAUGCAAGUCGAACGGAAAGGCCCUGCUUUUGUGGGGUGCUCGAGUGGCGAACGGGUGAGUAACACGUGAGUAACCUGCCCUUGACUUUGGGAUAACUUCAGGAAACUGGGGCUAAUACCGGAUAGGAGCUCCUGCUGCAUGGUGGGGGUUGGAAAGUUUCGGCGGUUGGGGAUGUACUCGCGGCUUAUCAGCUUGUUGGUGGGGUAGUGGCUUACCAAGGCUUUGACGGGUAGCCGGCCUGAGAGGGUGACCGGCCACAUUGGGACGGAGAUACGGCCCAGACUAGUACGGGAGGGAGCAGUGGGGAAUAUUGCACAGUGGGCGGAAGCCUGGUGCAGCAACGCCGCGUGCGGGAUGACGGGCUUCGGGUUGUAAACCGCUUUCGCCUGUGACGAGGCGUGAGUGACGGUAAUGGGUAAAGAAGCACCGGCUAACUACGUG